rnacentral:rRNA from 1 species
UACGAAGGGGGCUAGCGUUGCUCGGAAUCACUGGGUGUAAAGCGCACGUAGGCGGAUCUUUAAGUCAGGGGUGAAAUCCCAAGGCUCAACCUUGGAACUGCCUUUGAUACUGGGGAUCUCGAGUCCGGAAGAGGUGAGUGGAACUGCGAGUGUAGAGGUGAAAUUCGUAGAUAUUCGCAAGAACACCAGUGGCGAAGGCGGCUCACUGGUCCGGUACUGACGCUGAGGUGCGAAAGCGUGGGGAGCAAACAGG